rnacentral:tRNA from 1 species
GUUCCCGUGGCCGAGUGGAGAGGCAGCGGCCUGCAAAGCCGAAGACGCCGGUUCGAAUCCGGCCGGGAGCU